rnacentral:rRNA from 1 species
UACGAAGGGGGCUAGCGUUGCUCGGAAUCACUGGGCGUAAAGGGUGCGUAGGCGGGUCUUUAAGUCAGGGGUGAAAUCCUGGAGCUCAACUCCAGAACUGCCUUUGAUACUGAGGAUCUUGAGUUCGGGAGGGUGAGUGGAACUGCGAGUGUAGAGGUGAAAUUCGUAGAUAUUCGCAAGAACACCAGUGGCGAAGGCGGCUCACUGGCCCGAUACUGACGCUGAGGCACGAAAGCGUGGGGAGCAAACAGG